rnacentral:rRNA from 1 species
UACGGAGGAUGCGAGCGUUAUCCGGAUUCAUUGGGUUUAAAGGGUGCGCAGGCGGGCCUUUAAGCCGGCGGUGAAAUCGCGGGGCUCAACCCCGCCGAGCCGUCGGAACUGUGUCCCUUGAGUGCGCGAAGGGUAGGCGGAAUGCGUGGUGUAGCGGUGAAAUGCAUAGAUAUCACGCAGAACUCCGAUCGCGAAGGCAGCCUACCGGCGCGCAACUGACGCUCAUGCACGAAAGCGUGGGUAUCGAACAGG